UAAACAUGAUAAAAAAGGAGUUCUUAUACUCAAGUCACAUGAGAACUCAUGGUUGGGAUAAUACAAAGUAGUCAUUUGACCUGAGGCAUCAUAGUUGUCUUGUGGUUAGGUCCUUGAUCUUUGACUAUAUCAAAGUCACCCUGUCAGAGGGUGUCCAUGACAUAGUUGGGGUUAAGCCACUUAGCCAUGGAGGCAAGUGAAUGCACAACAAGGGAUCUUUAACCUUCAAACCAUUUGAGGGAGAAUACUUUAUGAUAUGAUUAAGAAUCUUUGGCCAGAGUAUGAAUGAAAUUUAGGAAGUCGUUCCAAAUCACAUUCAAGGUAAUCAUAUAAGUAAAAGAAGCAUAUUUGAUAGUAGCCAUGAAUAAACUACCAAACCAAACAAUGUGGUCAAGAGUAUUGUAUUAGAGAAAGACUGAAUUGCGUUGUAAUCCUAAACUGAAUAGGUUCCCCA
rnacentral:lncRNA from 1 species